rnacentral:rRNA from 1 species
GACGAACGCUGGCGGCGUGCUUAACACAUGCAAGUCGAACGGAAAGGCCCUGCUUUUGUGGGGUGCUCGAGUGGCGAACGGGUGAGUAACACGUGAGUAACCUGCCCUUGACUUUGGGAUAACUUCAGGAAACUGGGGCUAAUACCGGAUAGGAGCUCCUGCUGCAUGGUGGGGGUUGGAAAGUUUCGGCGGUUGGGGAUGGACUCGCGGCUUAUCAGCUUGUUGGUGGGGUAGUGGCUUACCAAGGCUUUGACGGGUAGCCGGCCUGAGAGGGUGACCGGCCACAUUGGGACUGAGAUACGGCCCAGACUCCUACGGGAGGCAGCAGUGGGGAAUAUUGCACAAUGGGCGGAGGCCUGAUGCAGCAACGCCGCGUACGGGAUGACGGCCUUCGGGUUGUAAACCGCUUUCGCCUGUGACGAAGCGUGAGUGACGGUAAUGGGUAAAGAAGCACCGGCUAACUACGUG